AGUCUUUCCUAAAGCAAGAGGAAGUCCUGUGUGCAUGCACAGCCAGCCUCAGCUGCCGUAAGACACUGUGCAUUCCAAAUUAUUUCCAAGUGAAAAAAAAAGUCUUAUUAGGCAAAACAAAAUUUAACACUAAGUUUUGUCAUGCUGCAGAUGUAAUGGCUGGGUAAGAGAGCGAGGUGAGGAGCUGAAGAGUAAGGAAGCACGGUUUAAACAACGUGGUUCUCAUGAUGCCAUCACACUGUACUCUUCACGUUGAAAGAAAGGGAUCUGAGACACGCUCAAUCAAAUCACAAUCUCUGAAUGUCUCUGGGAGCUCUGCCCCUCCAAAACUGCUGUCUUACUGUUAGAGGCAUGGAUCAGAAUCCAACGGGACCCUGGUGAGAUUUCCACUUUCUUAUAUUGCAACAUAAAGAAUUAGACCUGGAGCAAGUGGAUAAUUAUAGAAGCAGAGACAGCUUAAGAAAGCAAAUACUCCCAAGCAUGGAAGCAGGCAGAGACCUAAGAAGUCACAACUCUAAUGGCCUCCCAUUUCUAUCCCUGCCAUGAGUGUGAUACCUGCGCCUUUAUAGGCCACAUAUAUAUCACCUGCACUGGUGGGAGGACUUUGGGGCUGUUUCUCAUCCAUGCUCUAUUUUGUUACAUGUAUCCCUGAUGAUGGGGAGGGUGUAGGUGGUAGUCUUUUUGACAACAUACUUAUUUUAUAUGUUAGUCUUGGUGCCUCUUUCCCAAAGCCCUACUUACUCUUCUGCCCCCAAUAAAUGUGAUAUCAGUGAGAAAUGUUCCCCAUAAUCUUAGGUAUUACUUCAAAAGAAAAAUAAUGAGAAAAAAAAACAAAGCAUAAAGUAUGCUUAUGAGUAUCAAUGGAUUGAUAAAUACAGUUUAUCUUAUUAUUUAGGAAGUUAAAACACCCCAUUUAUUUUCUUGUUACUUAUGCAUUUGAAGAGAAUUCUCUUUUUUUUUUUUUUUUUAGCUUUUUAGCAGUUUUUAGAUACAUGUGGCCUUGUCUUUAAGGUGUUCUUUAUUGUCUUAAUAGCCUAAAUUGUCAACUUUUUCUUCCAGCCAUCUUCUUUAUCUAGUCUGUUGAUAAGUCUUUCAAAUAAGUUUUCUGUUGUUGACAUUGUUUGAUUUAUGGAGCUUUUUGUUUUCAACAUUUAUGUUAAGAGAUUUUUCAGCCAUUCACUACAGCUGUGCACGUGUGUACUGGAGCACCAACCUGGCUUCCUUAUUUCAUUCAGUUAUAUAUUUGGGUUUUUUUUUAAUCUGUUUUUGUUUGUGUUUGCUUUUUUAGCUUUUGAUCGUUUUUACAAUAAUCACUUUGAAUUUUUUAUAUAGUAUGUUAAGUACUUCAACCUUAUUGGGAUCAGUUAUGGAAUUGUUGAGUUUAGACAUUUAAAAAAGUUUUUUGUUCGUUUGUCUUUCCACUUUGAGACACCAGUUGGGAUACAAAUCUCUUGAACUUCUGCGUGACAGCCUUUGCAGGGGACAGCUUUCUUCUGAGGCUGUGCCCUAGAAUGUAGGCCAGCUUCGUACUGUCGAGUUUACAUUCCAUGUUCGCUCGCGUCAGUGUGAGAUUUCAGGUGGCUUGUUAGGUUGUGGUCAGUAGGAUUUGCUACUGCUGUCAUUAUGUUAAAACCUGAGUGGCCAGCUUUCCCUACAGAUCUCUAGAGUUAUCUAAUCCCUUUGAAAGUGAAGGCAGAUGUGUUGAACAAGCAUGGUGUGUGGGGAAUAUCCUAUGUGGUUGUUCUUCCGGGUUAGUUAGCAGUGUGAAUAUACAGGCACAUCUCCCUUGCCUUUUGUAGCUGCAGUAUCUACAGCCGUGGUUUAUCUCUCUGUGUUGAUUACUGUGCUUUCACUGGGACUUCUAGUCUUCCUCCAACUAUGUGUACUCUGGCCCAGGUCAUCAACGAGAUGCUUUAACUUUGACUAAUACUUAAAAUCUGCCAGAUUUCCAGCAGAACAAGAUGUGGUCUACACAAGAGUGGAAUUCUUCUCAACUAGAUUUGGAAAACAGCUCUGUGGAGAAACACCCACCAAGUGUGUCUGAGGUGUCAGGUUUGACAUUCAACACUGCUUAUGCAAAAAAUCCAGAAAUACAGUUAAAUCUACAUUAAAAACUAUAACUAUAGCAUCUAGUUUUUAAAAAGAGACAAUAUAUGCUAAAACGGUAUUUACAACAGUAAGAAUGCAAAACAAAAGAAAGGUAAGAGAGAUUUCCAAAGAAUAUUGCAGAAAUGUUUUUUUUGUUUGCUUGUUUUUUUUGUUUUUUUAAGAGAAGAUAAUAACAAAGAAUGAUGCAAAAAUAUGGGGAAACAGCAGUGAAGCUAACCAUUAAGCGGUGAGAAUGAGAACUCAGUGAAGAUUGACUUUGUCAUCCUGGACCAAAUUUCAAGGAGACUGAUGCCAGGCUGUUUAUUUAGGCAUAUUCAAACAUGAUGGAAUUUGGAAAAUUUUGUUUCCAGGCAACCAUCAUUCCUAUUCUAGAUGCAUAAUAAAGCUUAUGGCUGGGCUACAUAGGAAUUCCAUGACCAAGGAUUUGUGACCAUGGAAAUGGGUUCUAUAGCUUAAGGGCCUAGGAUUUAGUGUGUCUCUGACUGAGAUCGCAUAGAGGUCAUCAGGCCAUGUGUACGUGUGACACCUCCCCUAAGGAUGGGUUCCAUCAACUGGGAGCUAAUGAUAAAAGUCUAAGGAUUGAGUCUGAGAUAACAUUCUAAGGGAUUUGGGCAAGAUUUGACAGCUGCCUCUAGAGAUAUCAAAAGGUCAUCGGGUCAUUAACAAUAUCCACUCCCAGCUUCCUGGCUGGAUUGCAGGCAUUUUAUUUCCUCUGUCAAGGAUAUAACCCUUGUCUUUAACAUUCCUGGUUUCCAUAGUGGUCUGUGGGUGCAAAGACCUUUCUGCCUCCAACAUAUUUGCCUUUCAUUAGCCACUGCUAAUUUACAAAUUUAAUUAUUACUCUGAAUAUUUAAGUGUGUUUGUUUGAAUUCGUUGCCACUAAUUUUUUUAAUAAAACAGAAUUUAAUUGGGGAAAAUGAGAAAGGAAAGAAAUCAAGAUAAAAAUCCAAUUAAAGAAAUAAAUGAAAUAGUUAACCGUAUGAAAAUGCAGAAAAAAAAAUCAAAGUUAGACAAGACAAAGGGAAAGAAAGCAGAAAAGAAGAAAGCCUUGUGUAGAAUGUCUUUUCUACACUUGAUCUUGGCCAAAAGGCCAAGAAGCGAUAGAAUAUUGUCUACAUUCUGGUUGGACCUGGGAAUACAAGCCCUGUGUUCCAGGUCUCCUAUGCCUCUGCUGGUCUAGGUGGGGAACAGGGUGCUAAUGCAAUCUGCUUAGGCAAGUUGUCAAACCAAUUAGGGCUCUAGCAUGCUUCCCCUAAGUUUCUCCAUGCGUAGGUUCAGAGACUGCUGAACAAGUCCGGGAUGUGUUUCCUGGGAACCCCUAGGGCAAUACAUGCUACUGAACCAGCUGGGAGCCCUCUAGUUUCGGAAUAUUUAGAGCCGUGCUGUGUUCCCUUUCGCCCAAGACCCUAUCUCUGUGCACCCUGCUGCAGCCCUAACAUUGGGCCACAGUGGAGACUUUUUCUAUUAAAUCUACCUCUCUUAAGAGUUAAGAGUGGCAUAUUUUAUAGAUUGGACGAGGUUUCAGCAGAUAUGUCAGACUGUGUGUGACUGAGCACCUGGGGUCCAGGCUAACAUGCAAGCCCCUGGAAAAACUAAAGGGGGUUGUAGAGGAGGGUGGCCAGCUCCUCACUCCAACCAUGGUUUCCCCUUUAAAAAAAUAAUGUUUUUAAUUUUGGAAUUAUAAUAUAAUUACACUAUCCCCUCUCCCCUUUUCUCCCUUCAAUCCCUCCCAUGAGUUACCCUUAGCUCC